CAUUGUUGACCCCUUAAUGCAUGAGCCUUUACAGAAAGCUCAGUACAGCGGCCAUCUAGUUUCCAAGCCCUCAAAGUGAUAAAACAUGCAGUUAAACCACCAAGAUCUAGGCCAUUAACUUGAACACUUCCGUUCAUGCCUACAUUUUCAAAUUCUAGAAUAUCGGAUUUUCCUUCUCCGGUUCCAACUGCCCAUUCAAAGUGAUGAUAUGAUCCAGCGGUAUCAGCAAAAGUUUGGCG
rnacentral:misc_RNA from 1 species